rnacentral:rRNA from 1 species
UACCAGCACCCCGAGUGGUCGGGACGAUUAUUGGGCCUAAAGCAUCCGUAGCCGGUUUUACAAGUCCUCCGUUAAAUCCAGCUGCUUAACAGAUGGGCUGCGGAGGAUACUAUAGAGCUAGGAGGCGGGAGAGGCAAGCGGUACUUAGUGGGUAGGGGUAAAAUCCGUUGAUCCAUUGAAGACCACCAGUGGCGAAGGCGGCUUGCCAGAACGCACUCGACGGUGAGGGAUGAAAGCUGGGGGAGCAAACCGGG